rnacentral:rRNA from 1 species
UGGGGAAUAUUGGACAAUGGGCGAAAGCCUGAUCCAGCCAUGCCGCGUGUGUGAAGAAGGUCUUCGGAUUGUAAAGCACUUUAAGUUGGGAGGAAGGGCAGUAAGCGAAUACCUUGCUGUUUUGACGUUACCGACAGAAUAAGCACCGGCUAGCUCUGUGCCAGCAGCCGCGGUAAUACAGAGGGUGCAAGCGUUAAUCGGAAUUACUGGGCGUAAAGCGCGCGUAGGUGGUUCGUUAAGUUGAAUGUGAAAGCCCCGGGCACAACCUGGGAACUGCAUCCAAAACUGGCGAGCUAGAGUAGGGCAGAGGGUGGUGAAAUUUCCUGUGUAGCGGUGAAAUGCGUAGAUAUAGGAAGGAACACCAGUGGAGAAGGCGACCCCCUGGGCUCAUACUGACACUGAGGUGCGAAAGCGUGGGGAGCAAACAGG